rnacentral:pre_miRNA from 1 species
AGUAUAAUUGCUGGAUGAUAUGGCAGUUCUAUUUUUAAUUUUUUUGAGUUACUUCCAUACUGUUUUCAAUAAUGGCUGUACCAAUUUAUAUUACCACAAGCAGU